UACGUAGGGGGCAAGCGUUGUCCGGAAUCAUUGGGCGUAAAGCGCGUGUAGGCGGCUUCGUAAGUCCGUUGUGAAAGUCCAGGGCUCAACCCUGGAAUGCCGAUGGAUACUGCGGAGCUAGAGUCCGGAAGAGGCGAGUGGAAUUCCUGGUGUAGCGGUGAAAUGCGCAGAUAUCAGGAGGAACACCAAUGGCGAAGGCAGCUCGCUGGGACGUUACUGACGCUGAGACGCGAAAGCGUGGGGAGCAAACAGG
rnacentral:rRNA from 1 species